AGUCGAACGAGAGAGAAGGAGCUUGCUUCUUCGAUUGAGUGGCGAACGGGUGAGUAACGCGUGAGGAACCUGCCUCAAAGAGGGGGACAACAGUUGGAAACGACUGCUAAUACCGCAUAAGCCCACGGGUCGGCAUCGACCUGAGGGAAAAGGAGCAAUCCGCUUUGAGAUGGCCUCGCGUCCGAUUAGCUAGUUGGUGAGGUAACGGCCCACCAAGGCGACGAUCGGUAGCCGGACUGAGAGGUUGAACGGCCACAUUGGGACUGAGACACGGCCCAGACUCCUACGGGAGGCAGCAGUGGGGAAUAUUGCACAAUGGGGGAAACCCUGAUGCAGCGACGCCGCGUGGAGGAAGAAGGUCUUCGGAUUGUAAACUCCUGUUGUUGAGGAAGAUAAUGACGGUACUCAACAAGGAAGUGACGGCUAACUACGUGCCAGCAGCCGCGGUAAAACGUAGGUCACAAGCGUUGUCCGGAAUUACUGGGUGUAAAGGGAGCGCAGGCGGGAAGACAAGUUGGAAGUGAAAUCUAUGGGCUCAACCCAUAAACUGCUUUCAAAACUGUUUUUCUUGAGUAGUGCAGAGGUAGGCGGAAUUCCCGGUGUAGCGGUGGAAUGCGUAGAUAUCGGGAGGAACACCAGUGGCGAAGGCGGCCUACUGGGCACCAACUGACGCUGGGGCUCGAAAGUGUGGGUAGCAAACAGGAUUAGAUACCCUGGUAGUCCACACCGUAAACGAUGAUUACUAGGUGU
rnacentral:rRNA from 1 species